CUUUUUUUCCGGAGAAUGCCAACUAAUACAGGAGGAAGGACUGACGGAGUUAGUAAACACCACCAUUUACAAUUCCCGGUGUAGGCACUGACUCAGACAAGGAUCAUCGAUGCACGCUAAGCAAAAAUAUGUAAUCUUAAUUUAAACACGAGGAAAUAAAUCAACAAACCCAGGCUGUGAGACAUUCUACAAACAAAUGGCCUGGAUUCUUCAAAAGUUUCAAUGGCAUGAAAGAGAAAAAUAGCAAGUGAACUUCUAGAGAUGAGAGACCAAAAAAGAUGUGACUGUGAAAUGCACUGAGUUAUCUUUGAGUGGAUCCUGGAAUAAAGACUUUGUUGAAGCUCAUCUCCCCUAUUAACAAUCAUGAAGGUGGACACAGUAAGUUAUCUCCUCUUUC